rnacentral:rRNA from 1 species
ACUCCUACGGGAGGCAGCAGUAGGGAAUUUUCCACAAUGAACGAAAGUUUGAUGGAGCAACACUGCGUGCAGGAUGACGGCCUUCGGGUUGUAAACUGCUGUUGUAAGGGAAGAAAAGCAAUUGGAGGAAAUGCCAGUUGUUGACGGUACCUACCAGAA